rnacentral:rRNA from 1 species
UACGGGGGGGGCAAGCGUUGUUCGGAAUUACUGGGCGUAAAGGGCUCGUAGGCGGCCAGCACAAGUCAGUUGUGAAAUCUCCGAGCUUAACUCGGAAAGGUCAACUGAUACUGUGCGGCUAGAGUGCGGAAGGGGCAACUGGAAUUCUUGGUGUAGCGGUGAAAUGCGUAGAUAUCAGGAAGAACACCCGUGGCGAAGGCGGCUCUCUGGGACGGUACUGAUGCUGAGACGCGAAAGCGUGGGGAGCGAACAGG